rnacentral:rRNA from 1 species
UUAAAGGAAUUGACGGGGAGCACCACAACGGGUGGAGCUUGCGGUUUAAUUGGAUCAACGCCGGAAAUCUUACCGGGACCGACAGCAAUAUGAAGGCCAGGCUGAAGACUUUGCCGGAUUAGCUGAGAGGUGGUGCAUGGCCGUCGUCAGUUCGUACUGUGAAGCAUCCUGUUAAGUCAGGCAACGAGCGAGACCCACGCCCACAGUUGCCAGCGUACUCUCCGGAGUGACGGGUACACUGUGGGGACCGCCGCUGCUAAAGCGGAGGAAGGAAUGGGCAACGGUAGGUCAGUAUGCCCCGAAUAUCCCGGGCUACACGCGAGCUACAAUGGUUGGUACAAUGGGUAUCUACCCCGAAAGGGGACGGGAAUCUCCUAAAACCAAUCUUAGUUCGGAUUGAGGGCUGCAACUCGCCCUCAUGAAGCUGGAAUCCGUAGUAAUCGCGUUUCAACAGAACGCGGUGAAUACGUCCCUGCUCCUU